GGGUCUGUAGCUCAGCUGGGAGAGCGCUACAUUCGCAUUGUAGAGGUCAGCGGUUCGAGCCCGCUCAGAUCCACCA
rnacentral:tRNA from 1 species